CAGCAUGGACACGCGGGACAGCGCGGCCGCCGAGGCCGCCCGCCGCCCGGCGCCGAGCCGGUCGUUGAGGCCGCCGAACGAGGAGCCCUCCGGGACGACGUAGACGGCGUCGGAGCGCGGGAGCGCGUCGGCGGCCGUGAGCGGCGCCGUCCAGUAGCCGUCGACCCGGGUUCGGAGGACCCACGCGUACGUGAAGUUGCCUCGGGAUUCCCGCUCCCGGAUGAGGUCCAGGCACCCCUCCACCAGCCCGAAGUACUGCAGCAGGCCCUGCAUGC
rnacentral:lncRNA from 1 species